UGGAGGUGAAGCUUGGUGGAAGGUGAUUGGAUCAUGGGGGUGGACAUCUCAUGAAUGAUUUAGCACGAUCUCCUUGGUGCUGUUCUUAUGAUGAUAUUUUUCAGACCCUGCAUCCUGAUGAACCAACUGGCACCACCCAGACUGGUAAACUGGCCCAACUUGUUCUGCCAUCCCACCCAGAAACUGAAGACAGCAAGAAGAACCUGCUUCAACCCCCUAUGAUUUCAGCCCCAACCCAACCAAAGCAUUCCCCCACUCCCUAGCCCCAUGACCACCAAAUUACGCUUAAAAAAC
rnacentral:lncRNA from 10 species